rnacentral:rRNA from 1 species
UCCCUCGGUAACGGCGAGUGAAGAGGGAAGAGCCCAGCACCGAAGCCUGCGGCAGUUUUGCUGUUAGGCAAUGUGGUGUGUGGGUCGGCUAGCGGGAUCGUCACUCCACUCGAAGUCCAGCAUUGAGUAUGGUUAUCACUGGAUUUGGCCCAUAGAGGGUGAGAGGCCCGUACGAGUGGAGUUUCAGGUGUGUGAGAUGAUUUACCAGGCCGACCUCAGAGUCGGGUUGUUUGAGAUUGCAGCCCAAAGAGGGUGGUAAACUCCAUCCAAGGCUAAAUACUGGCACGAGUCCGAUAGCGAACAAGUACCGUGAGGGAAAGUUGAAAAGUACUCUGAAGAGAGAGUAAACAGUACGUGAAGCCGCAUGCAGGUAAACGGGUGGCGUCAAGCUGCGAGCCCGGAGGAUUCAGCUGAUUAGGAUGUAGUGUACGCGCGCCUGGUGCGUCGAGAGACCGGAAUAAGAUGUUUAUCGGCGGUCCACUCCUCUAUUAGGAGUGGGGUGCUAUUGGUGUGCACGUGCUUGCAUGUGUGUGCCAAUUGUUGCUAUACAUGCCGGAUGGUUAUCGGAGUAUGCCGCUCAUCUGUUGGGUCACCUAGUCAGUGCAUUUUCUCUGUGGUGAACACCACGACCGGUGGAACUGCCAGUCUGCUGUUAUCAAGUCGUGUCCUUCUGGCCUCUUCAUUUCUUCCUCUCUUAUGGUUACUACUGUCUAUCUAUUAUCUCUCCUUUGUGGAUGGUAUUAGUAGAUGGUAGUGGUUGUGAGGGAUGUGAGGGGUGGACAUGUGUGUUGGGUGGAUACGAUCGCAGAUGGAGUUAGUGGACGGCGUAGUGGUGCAUUAGUACCGCCGCGUGUUAUCGUUUACUCUCCAUCGUAGGCGAUUAGUGGUGCUGACUGAGCACUGUGACUGCUUCUCCAUUAAUCGGCGGAUAGCGGUGGAAAAGAUGACUGUGCAGGGCACUGGAGUUAUCCACCUUAAUCAUUCCUUUAUCCACUCAUUUGUGGAUUCAUUCAUUCAUUCAUUCAUUCCAGAGAUGGGUGCAUGGAUGGAUUUGUGCAUGAGUGGGUUGAGUGGGUGAAUAUGGUACCCGACACGCAUGUUACAGGUGUUAUGUAAUCGGGGCAUUCCGCUGCCUGUCUGGUAUUGAGCCUGACUGUCGUGUUGCCUGCGUAAAGU